rnacentral:sRNA from 1 species
UGCAUCUGAUGGGAGGGUCGGAGAGGCGGAGGUUAGCUGUGGGCAUUGGCUGCUCGAUAACCACAAGUAUAUAUCGGGAUACCUGGCGGGUUGCUCAAACCAGCCAAUUUUGAGAGGUUUGCUGCAUCCAUCGCCCAUAGUAACUCCCCUUUUGGUGAGAUGGUGUACGGUGAUAUUCAAUGUCACAAAAAAAAAGGCCACGGCGAUGAACCAGACUCGUUGGUCAGAGCACAUAAAUGGUUAGAUGGUUGAAAUGCUCGCUAGCACAGUGGCCAAUUAUUUGAGUGAUAGGAAACCGCCUUUUUUGUUCGAGUGUCGAGAGACGAAAGGCAAAAGAAACAUUACAC